GAUGAAGAACGUAGCGAAAUGCGAUAAGUAGUGUGAAUUGCAGAAUUCAGUGAAUCAUCGAAUCUUUGAACGCACAUUGCGCCUUCUAGUAUUCUGGGAGGCAUGCCUGUUUGAGCGUCAUUAAACCUCUCUCAAGUAUGAUUACUUGGAUGUGAAGGAAGAGUACCUUAAACUUAAGGAGUGUUCUCCUUUGAAAUUGAUUAGCAGAUGGUAAUGUUAUUAAAUCCCUGAUGUUGUAAGAAAUAACAGUGGUUUUGUAGACUAUUAUCUAGCUUUAAAAUAUAAUUUUUAUUAUGGUUGACCUCAAAUCAGGUAAGGAUACCCGCUGAACUUAAGCAUAUCAAUAAGCGGAGGA
rnacentral:misc_RNA from 1 species